GCUGUGGCUGUGGCUGGUCUGGGCGUCGGCAAACUAUUGCAGUAAACUUUUAAACCAGGAAUCCUUUAACAUCCACAAUUGGGUGAGUGUUUUGCCUUACCAUUAAAAUGCUGCCGAUUCAAUAACCCCGUUCAAUAAUGCCGCUAAUCCCACGUCUCCAAUCCUCAUAGAGCCGCCAUAUAGGUUAUACUCACCUGGCCGUGUAUGGAGAGGAAAUCGCAACGGGAAAUUCGAAGGUCAGGUUUUUUUCAAUGGACUGAUUCAACUCCAGCUCUGCAGAAACACUCAACUCAACAAGGAAAUGCAUGAUGGCGAGUUUACCCAACCUGAACUUAGAUUAGCCUAAAUCAAAACACUAAAUAACUGGACUGUUUUCGUUUUUUUAUUAAUUUUUUUGUUAUUGUUGUUCUGUCAAUUUAUUUUCAAUAAACUCCACCCAACUUCA